GGGCGCCGGGUAUCUGCGAUGUCUCCAUCGACCAACCAAUUCUCAUUGAUUGUUCGUCGUGUGACAUUGAUCCGUAGACAGUAGUCACAUGUGCACGCAGAGCUCGUGUUAUUUCUGUACGGAACAAUUUCAAUUAUUUCACCGUUGUUCCUCGUUUCAUUAACUUUAACUAUCGUAAUACGUCGAAGCUUGGAUUUGCAUUUACAUUGGCUUCGGUUUGCCUCGUCAAAGCUUAAUUCACGUUCUUUCGCUCGCGACGAGUUUCGCUUUGCGUUGAUCUCAUUCGAUUCGAUCAGAUUUGAUUCGUGACAGUUUGCUUGAAACAGCGACCAACUCGAUCAACCAUGUUCGAACAACGUGUUUGGCAAAAUGUAAACAGAAACUGAAAUAGUUUGCGAAGAUUGCUCGUAGUUGGAUGAACGUUAGAGAAACUUACUAUACCAGAGCAUAAUAAAUCCUAGUCGUCAAGAACGUGCCUAUCAAGAAGAUUCAAAGUCCAAAGAUACCAACGUGUACGUGCAACUAAAAAUACAAAAUCUUGGAGAUCACGCUGUUCCACCAUAAAACCUCGAAACAACGAAACAUUGAACCCAGGUGGAAAGUUUCUACUCGGUCAGAAACUUCGAUGAUCGCUACAACUCGACGGGUAAUAGUCUCUUCGUCUUUGGCCGCUUCCAGUUCUUCACAGCGUCCGACCAAUUUCCCCAUUACCUACGUUCGAUACCGCGGUGAAUUCGUGGAAAUUGGCCGGCGUUCGUUUGCACACGAGCCAAAUCACGAUGCGGUUACAGUUCGAUCGCUUCUUCGACCGCGUAAUCGAUCCAAAAUUGAGGCAGCAACCGUGCAGGGAAAAUACCCACGGGAGCUGUAUGGUUCCCGGUUCAGCGAGGAGCGACGUUACGUCGACGAUUUUCAGACAACGCGUACGAUGAGACGAGGAAAUUGUUGCCUGGCAACCGAUUGACCUAGAUCGGUUGCACUGUCGUAGCUGGAGUCCGGCUAACGUUGCUCAGGGCGUCUGAUUGUCGCAGCAGGGUGCAGGGUUGAAGGCUGAAUGGGAUUGAGGUGCGUUGAAGAGGAAACUAGAGAAACUGGUAGACUGCUCUUGGCAGUCCAUGCUUGUAAUAGUCGUACUACCAUGAAAUUAUGGUGGAUAUUAAACUUUUAAUGUAUAAUCGCUAUUUUGCCUCUUUUUCUUUUUAUUUCUUUGAAGCUUUCGAAUUGAGAAAAUGAAUUACUGUUGGGCUUGCCAGGCCAGGUCGGGAGAUCGGUUUUAAAAUUUAGUUAAAAAUUUUACGUUUAUUGUUGUUUCUUUUGUUCGUCUAACUUUAUGUAAAUUCUUAUAUUAACAAAUAUUGAGAAAUCGAUUAAUCAGGUAAUAU